rnacentral:rRNA from 1 species
UACGAAGGGGGCUAGCGUUGCUCGGAAUCACGUGGCGUAAAGCGCACGUAGGCGGCUUUCUAAGUCGGGGGUGAAAUCCUGGAGCUCAACUCCAGAACUGCCUUCGAUACUGGAAGCUCGAGUCCGGGAGAGGUGAGUGGAACUGCGAGUGUAGAGGUGAAAUUCGUAGAUAUUCGCAAGAACACCAGUGGCGAAGGCGGCUCACUGGCCCGGUACUGACGCUGAGGUGCGAAAGCGUGGGGAGCAAACAGG